UUGGAGGGCAAGUCGGUGCCAGCAGCCGCGGUAAUUCCAGCUCCAAUAGCGUAUAUUAAAGUUGUGCAGUUAAAAAGCUCGUAGUUGACCUUGGGCUGCUGGCCGGUCCGCCUCCUGCACUGGUUCGGCGGGCCUUUCCCUCUGGGGAACCUCAUGCCCUUCACGGGUGUGAUGGGGAACCGGACUUUUACUGUGAAAAAAUUAGAGUGUUCAAAGCAGUAUGCCGAAUACAUUCAUGAAUAAUAGAAUAGGACUGUGGUUCUAUUUUGUUGGUUUCUAGGACCGCCGUAAUGAUUAAUAGGACAGUCGGGGGCAUAGUAUUCAAUUGUCAGAGGGAAAUUCUUGGAUUUAUUGAAGACUAACUACUGCGAAAGCAUUUGCCAAGGAUGUUUUCAUUAAUCAGGAACGAAAGUUAGGGGAUCGAAGACGAUCAGAUACCGUCGUAUCUUAACCAUAACUAUGCCGACUAGGGAUCGGACGGGUUAUUUUUUACCCGUUCGGCGCCUUACGAAAC
rnacentral:rRNA from 1 species